GGAUUUUCCCGAUCCCCUCCCACUUUAUUUGUUUCGACUAAUAAGUCGUCCAAGUCUCUUUGAGUAUAGCUUAUCAUCUCUAUAGACACUAUAUAGAUCUAGUCAAAUACACGCCAAAAUACGAGUCAGAGAAAUGUCAGAUGAUUGCUUUGCUCCUGAGGACGAGUCACAACCGUAUGAAGACAUUGUUUUUUACUGUCAGAGAUCCGAUGGAACUAUAACGGAACACAAAACCCAUUGUGGAACUAAUAUAGCUAUACAAGGCUUAAAAUCUGACAUGGAAAAUAUAUUUAACAUACAGUCACAGAACCAAGUCUGGGAAUUCCGUAACCAAGUUCUACAAGACAAUCAGACUUUGGAAAUUUUAAGAGACAUCUGUCCUGGAAGUGAUAACAUCAAGAUAGCUGUUAAAAGCAGAGUUUAAAAAUUUAUAUAAACUACCGCUAUGUCUUCUAUUAUCUAGUGUUUUUUUUUAAGGAAUCAGUAAUUUUUAAGAUUAUCAUCUUAUAUGUUGUUCCUGUAUGCCAGGGGUGGGCAAACUUUUUCCAUCGAGGGCAGCAUUAAAAGAUUUUUAGGAAUUUGGGGCAGCAUACAUAUAGGCCUAGAAUAUGUAUUUACAACUUAGAAAAUAUACAUGUAUACUGUAUUAAACAUUUACAUCUUUUUUUACACUACCAAUUGAAGAAUUACAAUACGAUUUAGCGAUUUCUGAAACUAAUUUUAUUUUUUUUAAUUUUGUUAUUGCCUUUUUACAUCACAACAAUUCAUCCCAACAAUUUGCUUGUGCUGUUGUACAUAAUUUUUAAUAUUUAAUUUUACACUCGUGCAUAAUGUUUUGGAACUGUGGUGGAACUCGCUAACUAGUUGUUAUCCUUGUGACUGCUGUCAAAUUACAGUCUGUCAGCAUCAGGUUAGUCUUACACUUUUUUUUUCAAACAAAAAAGGCUUGUUCACGAUUUAUGUGAACCCAAAUAAUGUAAAAAAUUAGCAUCAAGUUUUUUUAAAGUGUUGAAAUACAGCUUCUGGGAACCUUAAAUCUCCUGUGGAAGGUCAUAAUUUGCUUGAAGGUAUUUCAUCUGGAGCUGAAUUAGCUUCUGCUCUAAAUGGUGAAGUGAGGAUACUGAGAAUUGGUUUCAAGAUCUUGAUGUCUUAAAAUUUGCUUUUCAAAUUCAACUAGUCAUGUACUUUUCAACCAUUUUACUAGAAACCUUUGAUCAAAGGAAAAUGAUUAAACCUGUUUUCAUUUGCUUGCCUGGAGAAAUGGAAAAGUUUUGUUUGGAAAGAUGUACAGACAUUUCAUGAGCAAGCAACCCAUUGGAAUGUUAACGAUGAAAAACAUGAAGUCUGUCUUCCACUCCUCAUUAGAAAUAUUAGUAACAAAGUCACAGUCGAUGUCCCUCAAAGAACAUAACAAUUUCUUCCUUGAGAUCCCAUAAUCUUCUCAAUACCUUGCCCAUACUGACCCAGCAGAUACCACUGUGGUACCUAACAUCGGAAUGUUUUGUUUUCUCACCUUCAAGUAGUUUACUUCUCGGAACUGCGUGUGGUUAAGUCCCCUAGCUCUGAUAAGUUUGAUCGCUGAUAAUUGGGUCAAUAACAUGUUUGUCAUUCAAUGCAGUUUUGUGCAAACUUUCCCGUGCCGAGUUUAUAGUUGGGAUAUUGUUCUUUUUAUUUAAAAAAAAAAACGCUUUACUCAUUCAAAGUACGGGCUCCAUUAGUUGUUACACUUGCCAUCUUGUUCCAAGCCAACCCAACACUUUCAACCCAGUUCUUCAUAGCAUUGAAUAAAUACUGGCUUGAGUUAAAUGUCUUUGACUAAAUGGUUGGAAAUAUUGCAAACAAGCAUAAUCUUUAUUUGUUUUAAAGUUUUUAGAAUGACAUGCAGAGACAAUGUUUUUUAGGCUCUUCAUGUUUAAUCUGUGGGCACACCUGAAUUCUGUAGGUGUUCGCGGGCCACAUGCGGCCCGUGGGCCAUAAUUUGCCCACCACUGCUGUAUGCUAUUCUGAUUGUCAUUGUAAGAGGGUGAGCUUAAAUCUUAAUUCCUAGUCAUAGGCUAUUGUUCUGUUAUCAAUGUCAUCAUCACAACAGUUAAUAUUAUAGUUGAAUUAGUUGGAUAAUGUUAUUGCAACUUCCUUUAUGGUAAUUUUUUAUGGAGAUUGAUUUUCAAAUUUCUUGAUCCACAUACCGGUAUUCCAUGUACAUGAACAGCUGUAUAAACUUCUAAAAAGAUAAAUUACUUUUUGUUCAUUCAAAUACAAUCUACAAAUAUGAAUCAUGGAUUAUUAUAAGUAUAAUAUACUGUGGGGGCAACAUCAUUCUGAACAUAAACAAUGCCCAGGCUUUCAUCUCUCUUGUUCGAGAUGAACCAUAGUAUAUCUCUACAACUAAAGGAGGCCAACAUGAUACAACAUUAUGUUUAAUCAACAGUGCCUAUAAAUAUAAUACCAAAAACAUAGUUUAUAUUAAUUUAAAUGUUUUAAUGCUAUUGGGGAAGCUCAUAGACAAUAAAAUACCUUCGCAAAAAUUAAGAUUCCUUGUAAGUCAAAACGCCUAACACACUAUACAAAAAAUUAAGAAACUUGACUUCUGACCCUCAAUCAAGUGGUCUCAAAUAUACUGAUAUUACUAAAUAAAUAUAAGGGAGGCAUAGUGGCUGAACAGGGGGUCCUGGGUUUGAAUUUCAGUGAGGAUUGGGGUUUUUUAAUUCAUGAUCUUUAGGGUACCUAUGAGUCCAACCAGCUUUAAUGGGUACCCGACGUUAGUUGGGGAAAAUUAAAGGCAGUUGGUCAUAGUGCUGGCAACAUGACACCCUCAUUAACCGAAAAAAAUGAUCUUUACUUCAUUUGCCCUUUAGAUUGCAAUGUCUGAAAGAGGAACUUUUUAAAUAAUUAAAAUAUAUAUAUUGAAAUUAGUUUAAAUCUAGAUGUGGUAAAAACAGUUUUAUUUGAUUGGAGAUUCUUGGCCUUAUUUCAAUAUGCUAACCAUAAAUAAUUGAACUAACCAAAUCAUUGUUUCUAGCAAAUAUUUAGCUUAUGAAGCAACAAAAUUCACACUCUUUGUUUAUCAUAUUCUAAAAAAAAAAUUAUAGCAUGUAGUGCUUUAUACUUUAUUUGAUAUUUAUUUUUAUCUACAAAGGUGUUUUGUUGUUAGUUUUUUUGGUCAUGGUUGUUUAAAUAUUUGAAAUGUUUGCUUCUCUCUGGUUUGCCUGAUUAUGAAUGGUUAAAACCUAAAAAUCCAUUACACGUAUUGAAAAAAUAAUUAAAUGAAUAAAAUGAAAUUAUCUCG